UACGUAGGGGGCAAGCGUUGUCCGGAUUUAUUGGGCGUAAAGAGCGUGUAGGCGGCCAUGCAGGUCAGCUGUGAAAACUCGAGGCUCAACCUCGAGACGUCGGUUGAAACCGUAUGGCUAGAGUCCGGAAGAGGAGAGUGGAAUUCCCGGUGUAGCGGUGAAAUGCGCAGAUAUCGGGAAGAACACCCGUGGCGAAGGCGGCUCUCUGGGACGGUACUGACGCUGAGACGCGAAAGCAUGGGGAGCGAACAGG
rnacentral:rRNA from 1 species